rnacentral:tRNA from 1 species
GCACCUUUAGCUCAGCUGGCAGAGCAAUUGACUCUUAAUCAAUAGGUCCUGGGUUCGAGCCCCAGAAGGUGCACCA